AUUUCAAGAACUAAUUCACGUAUUUGGAGAGAAAAAAAAUAUAUUUUUUAAAUAAAAAUGCGGGAUAUGUUUUUUUAUUUGUAUGAAAGGUGUCCAAGUUCUGGGAAUUUGUUAAGACCUCUUUUCCGGGAAAGAAAACGUUGCAGACUUUCGUUGUCUAAUGUACAAAGUGGAGGCCCAAUCACAAACUAAUUAUGACUUCUCUUUUUGAGUAAUACAAAUACACAUUCGACCAAAUAAAUAAAAUAAACUAUGUCUACGCUCGGACAUCGGCUAUCUACAUUUUUAUUUAAUAUACAUGACGCAAUAUAUAGCCAUAAUGCAAGUUUCACCACGUUAAUUUCAGAAAUAAAUUGAUUGAAAACUUUUCAACAAGUUCAUCCAUCCACACAUUUAUAUAAUAAUAGAAUUUGUAUUAUAUUAUUUAUGAGAGAGAGAGAGAGAGGUGUGUGUCUAGGAAACUUACAAAACUGCGUCUCCUUGUCCUUGCGCUAAAAUACCAUCUACGUACUAUCAUCCGAGAUUCAAAUACAGUUGGCGGCUUUGGCCCUUUUCAGUUUCUUUCCGCGAAACUAGUAAUCUCUCUCUCUCUCUCUCUCUCUCUCUCUCGUGUGUGUAUAUAUACGCACGCAUAUAUAUACCCUCUUAAUUAUAAUUGGGAAAAAGAAGUGUACGUGUAGUGAGAGAGAAGAGAUCAUCAAUGGCGAGGGAGGCAUCACGUGUAGCUCUUAUCAUCAUAUCUUUGCUUCUUCUACUUUUAUGUCUAUCCUCUCAACUUGGGGUUGCCGCCGCCAUUAGACACCGCAAACUAGCGGACGAUGACGGCGAAGAGAGAGGACUGACCCCACCGUCGCACUCAUGCGGAGCAGGGAUUGGAAACAAUCCUUCAAUAGUCACAGACAGGGUCCGACGAUCACCAGGCUGUAGAAGAAGAUCUCCACGUGCUUCCGCUCAGAACCACGCCACGUCAUCCCCUUGAAGAACCACCCGUCCACUUCUAGCCGUUUUUAUAUAUAAAUAAUGUGCAUGCAUGCGCUUGAUUAUGUCUUGUAAUUUUGUUUUUAUAUUUAUUCUUUCUGGGGGUAAAAGGGUGAUUCUAUUAAUACUUUCAAACAUAUAAAAAAAAAUGUUCAAAUAAAUCUUGAUUUGCAAUAGCGGAUGCUAUCUUGUAAUUUUCUUGGACCUUCAGAUGUGGCUACAAAAUUGUAUAAUUCGUGCGAAAAGUUCAUAUAAUCAAAUAAUCUGAACUUUUUUUUUUU